rnacentral:rRNA from 1 species
GACGAACGCUGGCGGCGCGCCUAACACAUGCAAGUCGAACGGAGCUUAAAGAGCUUGCUUUUUAAGCUUAGUGGCGAACGGGUGAGUAACGCGUGAGUAACCUGCCCUAGAGUGGGGGACAACAGUUGGAAACGACUGCUAAUACCGCAUAAGCCCACGGUACCGCAUGACACUGAGGGAAAAGGAUUUAUUCGCUUUAGGAUGGACUCGCGUCCAAUUAGCUAGUUGGUGAGGUAACGGCCCACCAAGGCGACGAUUGGUAGCCGGACUGAGAGGUUGAACGGCCACAUUGGGACUGAGACACGGCCCAGACUCCUACGGGAGGCAGCAGUGGGGGAUAUUGCACAAUGGGGGAAACCCUGAUGCAGCGACGCCGCGUGGAGGAAGAAGGUUUUCGGAUUGUAAACUCCUGUCGUUAGGGGCGAUAAUGACGGUACCUAACAAGAAAGCACCGGCUAACUACGUGCCAGCAGCCGCGGUAAAACGUAGGGUGCAAGCGUUGUCCGGAAUUACUGGGUGUAAAGGGAGCGCAGGCGGGAAGACAAGUUGGAAGUGAAAACCAUGGGCUCAACCCAUGAAUUGCUUUCAAAACUGUUUUUCUUGAGUAGUGCAGAGGUAGAUGGAAUUCCCGGUGUAGCGGUGGAAUGCGUAGAUAUCGGGAGGAACACCAGUGGCGAAGGCGGUCUACUGGGCACCAACUGACGCUGAGGCUCGAAAGCAUGGGUAGCAAACAGGAUUAGAUACCCUGGUAGUCCAUGCCGUAAACGAUGAUUAAAUAGGUGUUGGGGGGAUUGACCCCCCCAGUCCCGCAGUUAACACAAAAAAUAAUUCCCCCUGGGGAGUCCGCCCCCAAGGUUGAAACUCAAAAGGAAUUGACGGGGGCCCGCCCAAACCAGUGGAGUAUGUGGUUUAAUUUGAAGCAACGCGAAGAACCUUACCAGGUCUUGACAUCCGAUGCAUAGCACAGAGAUGUGUGAAAUCCUUCGGGACAUCGAGACAGGUGGUGCAUGGUUGUUGUCAGCUCGUGUCGUGAGAUGUUGGGUUAAGUCCCGCAACGAGCGCAACCCUUAUUGCCAGUUACUACGUUAAGAGGACUCUGGCGAGACUGCCGUUGACAAAACGGAGGAAGGUGGGGAUGACGUCAAAUCAUCAUGCCCUUUAUGACCUGGGCUACACACGUACUACAAUGGCGUUAAACAAAGAGAAGCAAGACCGCGAGGUGGAGCAAAACUCAAAAACAACGUCUCAGUUCAGAUUGCAGGCUGCAACUCGCCUGCAUGAAGUCGGAAUUGCUAGUAAUCGCGGAUCAGCAUGCCGCGGUGAAUACGUUCCCGGGCCUUGCACA